rnacentral:rRNA from 1 species
GGAGCCGGAGGGAAACCGAGUCUUAAUUGGGCGUUAAGUUGCAGGGUAUAGACCCGAAACCCGGUGAUCUAGCCAUGGGCAGGUUGAAGGUUGGGUAACACUAACUGGAGGACCGAACCGACUAAUGUUGAAAAAUUAGCGGAUGACCUGUGGCUGGGGGUGAAAGGCCAAUCAAACCGGGAGAUAGCUGGUUCUCCCCGAAAGCUAUUUAGGUAGCGCCUCGUGAAUUCAUCUCCGGGGGUAGAGCACUGUUUCGGCUAGGGGGCCAUCCCGGCUUACCAACCCGAUGCAAACUGCGAAUACCGGAGAAUGUUAUCACGGGAGACACACGGCGGGUGCUAACGUCCGUCGUGAAGAGGGAAACAACCCAGACCGCCAGCUAAGGUCCCAAAGUCAUGGUUAAGUGGGAAACGAUGUGGGAAGGCCCAGACAGCCAGGAUGUUGGCUUAGAAGCAGCCAUCAUUUAAAGAAAGCGUAAUAGCUCACUGGUCGAGUCGGCCUGCGCGGAAGAUGUAACGGGGCUAAACCAUGCACCGAAGCUGCGGCAGCGAACGUAUCACCCAAGACAACUUUACGGAGUUGACGAUUGACGGAGCGAAGCGACGUCAAAGCGUUCAUUAAAGUCGAGUUGGCUUAGGGAUACGUUCGUUGGGUAGGGGAGCGUUCUGUAAGCCUGUGAAGGUGUGUCGUGAGGCAUGCUGGAGGUAUCAGAAGUGCGAAUGCUGACAUAAGUAACGAUAAAGCGGGUGAAAAGCCCGCUCGCCGGAAGACCAAGGGUUCCUGUCCAACGUUAAUCGGGGCAGGGUGAGUCGACCCCUAAGGCGAGGCCGAAAGGCGUAGUCGAUGGGAAACGGGUUAAUAUUCCCGUACUUGGUGUUACUGCGAAGGGGGGACGGAGAAGGCUAUGUUGGCCGGGCGACGGUUGUCCCGGUUUAAGCGUGUAGGUGUGUGUUCCAGGUAAAUCCGGUUCACUUUAACACUGAGGCGUGACGACGAGGCACUACGGUGCUGAAGCAACAAAUGCCCUGCUUCCAGGAAAAGCCUCUAAGCAUCAGGUAACACGAAAUCGUACCCCAAACCGACACAGGUGGUCAGGUAGAGAAUACCAAGGCGCUUGAGAGAACUCGGGUGAAGGAACUAGGCAAAAUGGUGCCGUAACUUCGGGA